CUACGGGAUGCACCAGUGAGGAAUAUUGCACAAUGGGGGGAACCCUGAUGCAGCAACGCCGCGUGGAGGAUGACGCAUUUCGGUGUGUAAACUCCUUUUAUAUGUCAAGAAAAUGACGGUAGCAUAUGAAUAAGCACCGGCUAACUCCGUGCCAGCAGCCGCGGUAAUAAGGAGGGUGCAAGCGUUACUCGGAAUCACUGGGCGUAAAGGACGCGUAGGCGGGUUGGAAAGUCAGGUGUGAAAUCCUACAGCUUAACUGUAGAACUGCACUUGAAACUUCUAAUCUAGAGUAUGGGAGGGGGGGAUGGAAUUAGUGGUGUAGGGGUAAAAUCCGUAGAUAUCACUAGGAAUACCUAAAGCGAAGGCGAUCUCCUGGAACAUUACCGACGCUAAGGCGUGAAAGCGUGGGGAGCAAACAGGAUUAGAUACCCCUGUAGUC
rnacentral:rRNA from 1 species